CCUCCCGUCUCUUCUACCCGAACCCCCCCUCCCCCCCCCAGCAGAGAGACCCCAGCAGCAGCAGCAGCUGAUGAUGAAGAGAGAGGCAGUGGCAGAGGGGGGGCACCUUUUAUUUCUAUUUUUAAAGGGACAGGACACUAAUUUUACCCCACUUCAACCUUGAAUUGAGGGGGGUGGGGGGAAGGCGGCUGAGUUCCUUCCCCCACCCUCCAGCCCUGAGACCUGAGAGGGGGAUUGAGCCUGAGAAAGAAGAAGAAGGAGUUUCUUCUUCUUCGAAAACCCCCAUCCACGACUCCUACCCCCUCACCCCUCCACUAGCCUCCCUCCCGAGCCCCCUCCACCCUCCUCCUCUUUGGCCGUGAGAGGAGGAGAGAAAGAGACCAAAAGCCUCUUAGCAACACAGACCCUUUGCUGCUGCUGCUGCUGCUGCUGCUGCUGCUGCUGCUACUGCUGCUGCUGCUUGGCCCUGGCUGGAGACAUCUCACUACACCCAGGAGCAGCCACUUCCCCAGCUCUCCUCCUCCUUCGCCUCCUCCUCCUCCACUCCCCCCCCUUUAUUACCCUUUGUGUCAUCCUCCACAGCUCCAGGGAAGGCACUCAAAAGUGGGGGGCAGGAAAGAUGCUUUUUGAGGAAAUCAGUUUCUGCAUGUGGGAAGUAGAUAUUGAAGGUUAUAUGGUUUACAGACAAGAUCUUUAAAAUAUAGAUACUCAAGGAACCUCCAUAUUGUUUCCCAUAGUGGCUGCAUCAGUUUACAUUCCUACCAACAGUGCAUGUAUUUUCUCCACAUGAUCUCCAGCACCUGUUGCUUGUCUUUUUAAGAAGAGCCAUUCUGACAGGACCAAGGAAAUAAAUACCAGAAGCCAAGAGCACAGAAUAUUUUCUGUCAUCAAUCCACAGAACCUUGAUACUUCUUUAAUUCCAUCACACACAAAGGAAUGACCACCUUGGCAGAUGGCCACAGAGGAUGUCAACAAUUUCUUGGAG